rnacentral:siRNA from 1 species
ACCUGCUGACCUGGGACCAAUA